rnacentral:rRNA from 1 species
GGGGAAUAUUGCACAAUGGGGGAAACCCUGAUGCAGCGACGCCGCGUGAGUGAAGAAGUAUUUCGGUAUGUAAAGCUCUAUCAGCAGGGAAGAAAAUGACGGUACCUGACUAAGAAGCCCCGGCUAACUACGUGCCAGCAGCCGCGGUAAAACGUAGGUCACAAGCGUUGUCCGGAAUUACUGGGUGUAAAGGGAGCGCAGGCGGGAAGACAAGUUGGAAGUGAAAUCUAUGGGCUCAACCCAUAAACUGCUUUCAAAACUGUUUUUCUUGAGUAGUGCAGAGGUAGGCGGAAUUCCCGGUGUAGCGGUGGAAUGCGUAGAUAUCGGGAGGAACACCAGUGGCGAAGGCGGCCUACUGGGCACCAACUGACGCUGAGGCUCGAAAGUGUGGGUAGCAAACAGGAUUAGAUACCCUGGUAGUCCACACCGUAAACGAUGAUUACUAGGUGUUGGAGGAUUGACCCCUUCAGUGCCGCAGUUAACACAAUAAGUAAUCCACCUGGGGAGUACGACCGCAAGGUUGAAACUCAAAGGAAUUGACGGGGGCCCGCACAAGCAGUGGAGUAUGUGGUUUAAUUCGACGCAACGCGAAGAACCUUACCAAGUCUUGACAUCCCUUGACAGGCAUAGAAAUAUGUUUUCUCUUCGGAGCAAGGAGACAGGUGGUGCAUGGUUGUCGUCAGCUCGUGUCGUGAGAUGUUGGGUUAAGUCCCGCAACGAGCGCAACCCUUAUGGUCAGUUACUACGCAAGAGGACUCUGGCCAGACUGCCGUUGACAAAACGGAGGAAGGUGGGGAUGACGUCAAAUCAUCAUGCCCUUUAUGACUUGGGCUACACACGUACUACAAUGGCGUUAAACAAAGAGAAGCAAGACCGCGAGGUGGAGCAAAACUCAGAAACAACGUCCCAGUUCGGACUGCAGGCUGCAACUCGCCUGCACGAAGUCGGAAUUGCUAGUAAUCGUGGAUCAGCAUGCCACGGUGAAUACGUUCCCG